rnacentral:rRNA from 1 species
CAAUAGCGUAUAUUAAAGUUGUUGCAGUUAAAAAGCUCGUAGUUGGAUUUCUGGUAGGAGUGACCGUUCCGAACUUGAUUGUUCGUGUAUUGUGUUUUCUCCAGCCAUCCUUGUGGAGAACUUUUCUUGCAUUAAUUUGUAGGGAUUGGGACCCGCAUCGUUUACUGUGAAAAAAUUAGAGUGUUUAAAGCAGGCAAUCGCUUGAAUACAUUAGCAUGGAAUAAUGGAAUAGGACUUUUGUCCAUUUGGUUGGUUAUUGGACAUGAGUAAUGAUUAACAGGGACAGUUGGGGGCAUUAGUACUUAAUUGUCGGAGGUGAAAUUCUUGGAUUUAUUAAAGACUAACUUAUGCGAAAGCAUUUGCCAAGGAUGUUUUCAUUAA